ensembl:snoRNA SNORA70 Small nucleolar RNA SNORA70
CUGCAGCCUAUUAAGACAAACGGGGUCCUUCCCCCACAGGUACCUGGUGCACAGUGGCUGCAAACAGCCAUCUUCUUGGUAGUGUAUGUAGCCUGUUGCUUGUAAGGUUUUCACUAAGGGCCUUGGCAACAGAU